GGAUGGGUGGCAGAGUUGGUCUAAUGCGCCGGACUUGAAAUCCGGAGUCCUGGAGACGGGACCGUGAGUUCGAAUCUCACCCCAUCCG
rnacentral:tRNA from 1 species